rnacentral:rRNA from 1 species
GAUGAACGCUGGCGGUAUGCUUAACACAUGCAAGUCGAACGGUCACUUCGGUGAUAGUGGCGGACGGGUGAGUAACGCGUGAGAACCUGUCUUCAGGUCGGGGACAACAGUUAGAAAUGACUGCUAAUACCGGAUGUGCCUUUGGGUGAAAGAUUUAUUGCCUGAAAAAGAGCUCGCGUCAGAUUAGCUAGUAGGUGGUGUAAGAGACUACCUAGGCUCCGAUCUGUAGCUGGUCUGAGAGGACGAUCAGCCACACUGGAACUGAGACACGGUCCAGACUCCUACGGGAGGCAGCAGUGGGGAAUGUUCCGCAAUGGGCGAAAGCCUGACGGAGCAAUACCGCGUGAGGGACGAAGGCUUUUGGGUCGUAAACCUCUUUUCUCAAGGAAGAUGAUGACGGUACUUGAGGAAUAAGCAUCGGCUAACUCUGUG